GAUGAAGAACGUAGCGAAAUGCGAUACUUGGUGUGAAUUGCAGAAUCCCGUGAACCAUCGAGUCUUUGAACGCACAUUGCGCCCGCUAGUAUUCUGGCGGGCAUGCCUGUCUGAGCGUCAUUUCAACCCUCGCCCCCGGCUUUUGCUGGGAGCGGUGUUGGGGAUCGGCCGCCCGUCACUGGGAGGCCGGCCCCGAAAUAGAGUGGCGACCACGCCGUGUGCUCCUCUGCGUAGUAGUAAAUCACCUCGCAGGCGGACAGCGGUGCGGCCUGCCGUAAAACCCCCAACUCUUUCUGGUUGACCUCAGAUCAGGUAGGAAUACCCGCUGAACUUAAGCAUAUCAAUAAGCGGAGGA
rnacentral:misc_RNA from 1 species